UACGAAGGGGACUAGCGUUGUUCGGAAUCACUGGGCGUAAAGCGCACGUAGGCGGAUUCGUAAGUUAGGGGUGAAAUCCCGGGGGCUCAACCUCGGAACUGCCUUCGAUACUGCGGGUCUCGAGUCCGGGAGAGGUGAGUGGAAUUCCUAGUGUAGAGGUGAAAUUCGUAGAUAUUAGGAAGAACACCAGUGGCGAAGGCGGCUCACUGGCCCGGUACUGACGCUGAGGCGCGAAAGCGUGGGGAGCAAACAGGG
rnacentral:rRNA from 1 species